UGCAUUCGUUUGAUUGCAUUAUGCAUUUUUCAUUGUGGUGUGUGCCUCGCUCGGUUGUAAUCGCACAUACACACAAGUGUAUUACGACAAUUCGACGAUUCUGUGCGUUAAAUACACACGUACAGACGUGAGAAUCGUGACACGAGAAGCGCACCUUUUAUAUUCGCACCCCUCGAUGCAAAAACGACCCUUGUUCCGGAGUUCAUAGUCCCCCGAUUAAAUAAAUUCUUGUUCAUACACCGUUUCGUCGUUACGUUAGUUGAAUCCAAACACGCAUGCACAGACGAUUGCAAAACACAUCCACGAAGCUGGAUCGUUCUGCAAUCCGAUGAGAGACAACAGAGCUCUCACCUACCGCUGAUAUAACGGUGAAAAGAAAAAGAGAGGGAGAAAGCACGGGGAUCGGUCAAUCUUCUUCCUUGAAGAUGAAUGAAUCAGCGUUAUAAACAACAACGGAGAUCGGUUAACCACAUGGAUGAAGAAUAUUGAAUCGCGAGAUUGACGCAUUUUACGUUUUCGGAAAUGUAUGAAUAAAUCUCAUAUCGCGUGCGUACAUCACCGUGACGUAAUUCACAGUUUAAUCCCCGCAUCCUUAUCGUGUGUAUUUUCCGCAAUGCGUUCUUCUCUCUAUCUGUCUGUAAAGACGACGAACGGAAAUUAUAAUUCUUGAUAAGUAGAUGACUGAAAACAAGUGAGAUAAAUAUAACGAACUAUAAUCGCGCGAGAUCUCUUCGCGAGCAGCUGUUUCAUUUUGCUCCCAACGUUCACCAUCAAGGGACUGGAUGCUGCCGAACGCAUACAAGAGGGAUAUCCCAGUUCCAGAGCCAAGAGAGCAACCCCGACGAUGGUUUUCAGCGUCGCGACAAUACGCAGUCGUUCGUCGAGGCACGCUGGCGGGGCGCGUCGGAGGGGGUGGAGUGUGGCGGGGGCUGUGAAACAGCGAGUAUUUCAACGUUGUGUG